rnacentral:rRNA from 1 species
ACGUAGGGGACAAGCGUUAUCCGGAUUUACUGGGCGUAAAGCGCCUGUAGGCGGCCUGACAAGUUGGACGUGAAAGCUCCUGGCUUAACUGGGAGAGGCCGUUCAAAACUGUCAAGCUAGAGUCUGGAAGAGGAGAGCGGAAUUCCCGGUGUAGUGGUGGAAUGCGUAGAGAUCGGGAGGAACACCAGUGGCGAAAGCGGCUCUCUGGUCCAAAACUGACGCUGAGGGGCGAAAGCGUGGGGAGCGAACGGG